AUGUGUGAGAACAAGGAGCCAAAAAUAUUGGAAAACGACCAUAAGAUAGAUAGCGGAUUCAGUGAUUUGGUUAUUAUGGAGGUUGAUGGAACUUGGUCUACUGUUGGAAUUCAGAGCCAUAAAGCAUUGGACUUGGACAAGAGCUCUUCCAUGGCAGCAACCAGCAGUCCAAGGCCAAGCUUCUCUUCUCCAUGGAUGAAUCUCAACUGGAAGCAGCAAGCUAUCUCAAGGGAGGGGAUUCUCAAGUCACCCCACUUCCAAUCCAUGGACGCUAUCCACAAGGACCAAGAUGACAACGACCAGGAAGGAAGGAGCCCACGCCCGACCCCGACGACGGCGGUUCCAUUUGUGUGCCGGCGUCGACCACAACCUCCCUCUCUAAAAUUAUCUUGUGCUUUAUUUUAA
rnacentral:rRNA from 1 species